rfam:Drosophila yakuba reverse transcriptase (DyakR2-element) gene, partial cds.
ACGUAGCUUAAAACGUUUGGUUCACAUACAUCUGCCUGCUGCCUUGGCACAAUAUCAAAAAGGCAUAAACAUCGCACAUAAUGGUUAUUUACGGCUAUGAGGAUGGUUUUAGUACGUAGGCGUUGCGGAACUUCGGUUCGGAUAGAGCAAUGAAUCGUGCAUGCUAGGAACUGACCAAAUAACGCAGCCCUAGUAUCUUUCGAAGAUUUCCAUACCUUUGCGAUC